rnacentral:rRNA from 1 species
GACGAACGCUGGCGGCGUGCUUAACACAUGCAAGUCGAGCGGAGCGGCGAACGGGUGAGUAACGCGUGAGUAACUGCCCCACUCUCUGGGAUAACAGUUGGAAACGGCUGCUAAUACCGGAUAGUGGGGGAUGAAUCGCGUCCUAUCAGCUUGUUGGUAGGGUAGUGGCCUACCAAGGCGACGACGGGUAGCCGGCCUGAGAGGGCGACCGGCCACAUUGGGCUGAGAUACGGCCCAAACUCCGACGGGAGGCAGCAGUGGGGAAUAUUGCACAAUGGGGGAAACCCUGAUGCAGCAACGCGCGGGCGUGAUGACGGCCUUCGGGUUUUAAAGCACUUUAAGUUGGGAGGCAUUAAGUUAAUACCUUGCUGUUUUGACGUUACCAACAGAAUAAGCACCGGCUAACUUCGUGCCAGCCGCCGCGGUAAUUC